UAGGGAAUCUUCGGCAAUGGACGAAAGUCUGACCGAGCAACGCCGCGUGAGUGAAGAAGGUUUUCGGAUCGUAAAACUCUGUUGUUAGAGAAGAACAAGGACGUUAGUAACUGAACGUCCCCUGACGGUAUCUAACCAGAAAGCCACGGCUAACUACGUGCCAGCAGCCGCGGUAAUACGUAGGUGGCAAGCGUUGUCCGGAUUUAUUGGGCGUAAAGCGAGCGCAGGCGGUUUCUUAAGUCUGAUGUGAAAGCCCCCGGCUCAACCGGGGAGGGUCAUUGGAAACUGGGAGACUUGAGUGCAGAAGAGGAGAGUGGAAUUCCAUGUGUAGCGGUGAAAUGCGUAGAUAUAUGGAGGAACACCAGUGGCGAAGGCAGCUCUCUGGUCUGUAACUGACGCUGAGGCGCGAAAGCGUGGGGAGCAAACAGG
rnacentral:rRNA from 1 species